AUUGAACGCUGGCGGUAGGCCUAACACAUGCAAGUCGAGCGGAUGAAGGGAGCUUGCUCCUGGAUUCAGCGGCGGACGGGUGAGUAAUGCCUAGGAAUCUGCCUGGUAGUGGGGGAUAACGUCCGGAAACGGGCGCUAAUACCGCAUACGUCCUGAGGGAGAAAGUGGGGGAUCUUCGGACCUCACGCUAUCAGAUGAGCCUAGGUCGGUUUAGCUAGUUGGUGGGGUAAAGGCCUACCAAGGCGACGAUCCGUAACUGGUCUGAGAGGAUGAUCAGUCACACUGGAACUGAGACACGGUCCAGACUCCUACGGGAGGCAGCAGUGGGGAAUAGUGGACAAUGGGCGAAAGCCUGAUCCAGCCAUGCCGCGUGUGUGAAGAAGGUCUUCGGAUUGUAAAGCACUUUAAGUUGGGAGGAAGGGCAGUAAGUUAAUACCUUGCUGUUUUGACGUUACCAACAGAAUAAGCACCGGCUAACUUCGUG
rnacentral:rRNA from 1 species